rnacentral:rRNA from 1 species
AGGCAGCAGUGGGGAAUAUUGCACAAUGGGCGCAAGCCUGAUGCAGCGACGCCGCGUGAGGGAUGAAGGCCUUCGGGUUGUAAACCUCUUUCGUCAGGGAAGAAGCGAAAGUGACGGUACCUGAAGAAGAAGCACCGGCUAACUACGUGCCAGCAGCCGCGGUAAUACGUAGGGUGCGAGCGUUGUCCGGAAUUAUUGGGCGUAAAGAGCUUGUAGGCGGUUUGUCGCGUCUGCCGUGAAAACCUAGGGCUUAACUCUGGGCGUGCGGUGGGUACGGGCAGGCUAGAGUGUGGUAGGGGAGACUGGAAUUCCUGGUGUAGCGGUGAAAUGCGCAGAUAUCAGGAGGAACACCGAUGGCGAAGGCAGGUCUCUGGGCCAUAACUGACGCUGAGAAGCGAAAGCAUGGGGAGCGAACAGGAUUAGAUACCCCGGUAG